CCUAAGAAGGAUGGUCUUUCAGAAGUCACAAAGAAUUUUGAGACGAAAAAAUUCAAGGAAAUACUUGGAAUAAAGUAGAAGCCUUGAAGACUGAAGGCUAUGGGCCUGGUUGAUCCACUUCAGAUUCAUACCCUGUUUUAUUAGAGGUUGAAAAAUGUUCAAGACCUGGUUGUACCGCAGCUCCCACCGACAGCUAAGGAACCAGUUUGGCGUCUGGUUGGUCUGUUGUUUUACUGCUGACCUUCAAAUCAACUUUAACCCCUGACCUCUGGAGGCAUCUAUCAUGACAAGAGGCUGUUUAACACAAACGGUGCCCAUUUAUAGGGGAACAGGCUCAGAAGAUGUCCUUUUUAUGAAGAAUUUAGUUUUUCCCCCCUCUUUUCUCCGUCACCACAGGUGAAAUCCCUCUUAGCAGCUGGCUUAUGAAAUAAUGUGAGGAGAGGCCUUAAUAAGCAGAAAGCACCCUUAGCUGGAGAUAAAUAUAUGCAAAUGAGAUGCACAAACAAAGGAGCCUGGACAGAGAAAUAUCUGCAUUUCCAGCGAAAUGCUGCCUGCAGCUCGAAGAUGAACAGCGUUGAUAAAAUGUGAACAGUAUCCUCACAUGUGCUGACGGCUCAGGCCACUGACCUGCAGCAGCUAGGAUAAAAAAUAGUUAAAGUGAUUCAACAUGUUCUGGAAUAUACAGUCCUGCUCCCCGUCUCCGCGCCCCCCCCCCAAAAAAAAAGUCAUUUGUCUUCUGCGUCCUGUGAUGUUUUGAGGAUUCUGGCAAAUAGGGCAGUUCAACAAACUUCUCUCACAAUCUAAAUACUGUCUGUUCAAGAGAGGCUUCCAA